GGAACGGGUAUCUGAGGGGAGAGGAUAAAGUCAUGCCAGGUCCGCUUCCGAAGACUUCGUGGGGAGGAAGGAGGUUGCAUCUCAGGGUGGAAAGUGUCUGGUGCCAGACGUCACACCCCCUCCUUGGCACUGGCUUGUUCUAGAACUGCCUCCCCACUGUGAUGACCUCACACCUGAGCAGAGAGAAAGGAACGCUCAGUGGUUGGAAAGUCCGGAAGGACCAGUUUUGCACUGUUCUUCACCCCAGUGAGAGUGUAGUUGAGUCCUUGAUUUAAUCCACCAGCCCCACAAGCCCUAAGAUGCCUUCUCUUCUCACACAGACUGAGUGGGGCUCCAUGAAGCUUCUGGAAUCAGUGGACUGAAGUCUGAGAUUCACCAACUUCCCUCUGCUUUUUGCUGCAUCACUGGGAUUGGUUUGGGUGGAGGACCAGUGGUAACCCAUGCUGCUGACCCAUCACAUCAUGAGCCAGAAUUACAGCCAUGACCCAUCUCUGCACCGUAUGUGUGAUCCCAUGGACUGCUGUGUCCAUCUGUGGGUUAUAAUCUGUCACUAUUGCUGGCCAUUAAGGGACUAUCUGACCUGUAUCUCCUCCAGCCUGCAGGGACCUCUUCCUCUCGCCAGCCUGGAGGAUGAGCCAGGCCAGAUUGGACAUGUGGCUUCUCACCUCCAGGACUGCCCGCUCUGCACUCAGCUAGUAUUAUCCCCCCAGACCGGCUGCUAAGGCCACUUCCUGAUCGUCUCCAAAGCCCUUGCAGAAGUGACCCUCUGGAGGCCAUAGGCAGCCUGAUGCCACCCCGAGAGCCUUCUACCUGCCUGCCCCCGCAUCCCCGGGCACGGCAAAGCAGACAAGCUGUUUAGAAAAGCAUUUGGCGGCACUUAACAAGAACCAUAAAAUUGUUUGUUCCA